rnacentral:rRNA from 1 species
AGAGUUUGAUCCUGGCUCAGGAUGAACGCUGGCGGCGUGCCUAAUACAUGCAAGUCGAGCGAAUCUAAGGGAGCUUGCUCCCGAAGAUUAGCGGCGGACGGGUGAGUAACACGUGGGCAACCUACCUGUAAGACUGGGAUAACUUCGGGAAACCGGAGCUAAUACCGGAUAAUAUAUGAGACCACAUGGUCUCAUAUUAAAAGAUGGCUUCUCGCUAUCACUUACGGAUGGGCCCGCGGCGCAUUAGCUAGUUGGUGAGGUAACGGCUCACCAAGGCAACGAUGCGUAGCCGACCUGAGAGGGUGAUCGGCCACACUGGGACUGAGACACGGCCCAGACUCCUACGGGAGGCAGCAGUAGGGAAUCUUCCGCAAUGGACGAAAGUCUGACGGAGCAACGCCGCGUGAGCGAAGAAGGUCUUCGGAUCGUAAAGCUCUGUUGUUAGGGAAGAACAAGUAUCGUUCGAAUAGGGCGGUACCUUGACGGUACCUAACCAGAAAGCCACGGCUAACUACGUGCCAGCAGCCGCGGUAAUACGUAGGUGGCAAGCGUUAUCCGGAAUUAUUGGGCGUAAAGCGCGCGCAGGCGGUCCUUUAAGUCUGAUGUGAAAGCCCACGGCUCAACCGUGGAGGGUCAUUGGAAACUGGGGGACUUGAGUGCAGAAGAGGAGAGCGGAAUUCCACGUGUAGCGGUGAAAUGCGUAGAGAUGUGGAGGAACACCAGUGGCGAAAGCGGCUCUCUGGUCUGUAACUGACGCUGAGCGCGAAAGCGUGGGGAGCGAACAGGAUUAGAUACCCUGGUAGUCCACGCCGUAAACGAUGAGUGCUAAGUGUUAGAGGGUUUCCGCCCUUUAGUGCUGAAGUCAACGCAUUAAGCACUCCGCCU